rnacentral:rRNA from 1 species
AACGAACGCUGGCGGCAGGCCUAACACAUGCAAGUCGAGCGCGCCCUUCGGGGUGAGCGGCGGACGGGGGAGUAACGCGUGGGAACGUGCCCUUUUCUACGGAAUAGCCUCGGGAAACUGAGAGUAAUACCGUAUACGCCCUUUGGGGGGAAGAUUUAUCGGAAAAGGAUCGGCCCGCGUUGGAUUAGGUAGUUGGUGGGGUAAUGGCCUACCAAGCCGACGAUCCGUAGCUGGUUUGAGAGGAUGAUCAGCCACACUGGGACUGAGACACGGCCCAGACUCCUACGGGAGGCAGGAGUGGGGAAUCUUAGACAAUGGGGGCAACCCUGAUCCAGCCAGGCCGGGUGAGUGAUGAAGGCCUUAGGGUUGUAAAGCUCUUUCAGCUGGGAAGAUAAUGACGGUACCAGCAGAAGAAGCCCCGGCUAACUCCGUG